GUUUCUGUUGAGUGAAUCAGUGAUUAGAGGAGCUGUGUGUGUUAUGAUGGAGAGAAAAGGAGUGUAUUUGGUGAGUCUGUUGGGUGGAUAUGUGUUAGGGAAGAGAGGAGUGGAGUCGUGUGUGGUAAUUCUGUUGUGAGUGAUAUCGUGAGAAGGACUGUCUGAGUGAAUCUUGUGAGAAACCCGUGUACACCUUCCAGCCAAUAAAAAAACCAACUUCCAAAUUCAUCCCUGGAUACCACUGAAACCAAAUGAAAAAUGUGCUCCCUGCGAUUCAAUUCCUAAUCUGUACCAUUUUUGCUCUGCAUCCACUACGCACACCCUUUUUUUCUUUCACGUUUUUUCUUCUUCUUUUUUUUCUUUCUUUUUUUUCUUUUUUCUUUUUCUUUUUUUUUUCUUUUUCUUUUUUAUUCCUUUUUUUUUAUAUUAGCUUUUCUUUCUUUUUUUCUUUUUUUUUUAUUAUUUCUUUUCUUUUCUCUUCUUUUUUUUCAAAACAACAAAAU
rnacentral:lncRNA from 1 species